UAAUGGGCAAAAUACACAAAAAUAUACCUAAACCUAGACUCUACCUAUAAAUCAAUGCUUAAAAACAUCAAAAAGAAAAAAAGAACGCAUAUACACAGAAAAAGUUGCGCAGCAAAUACAGGACUCCUCCCCCCUUCGGAUCGUCUUCUUCAUAGAACCCCCGCCCCCUUGACCUCAUCCUUCAUCAUCAGCCAUCAAUCCCAAACAACCGAAGACCCUCCCGUCAUCGCCUCCUACACAAAACCAGCGAGAACGGACCCUCCAAUCUCUCUCGAUCUCUGAGAACGACGAGUAGUAGCAGACCCCUUCCAUCGCCGGAAAUUCAAAAACAGCCCGACCUUCACCCAACUCCCCCACCUCAUCUCACCUCGCCGCUGUCUAUUCCACCAACGACCCCAUAUCCGGCAGGCUUCGCCCUCACGCACACACACAAAGACGAAACAACAGUAUGACUUCUUCGUUCAAUACGUCCGUUAGUUAUUUCACUCUCAGAUCUGUUGAUCUUCCUUGGUUUGCUAUUUUCACCCCUACUGUCAUUACUUCUUCUUCCGUUUGACAUUACCUAUUCCAUUUUCGGAUAGGAUUAUGAAACUCAGCUACAAAUCACACUAAAUGGUAUGAAGCAGAUCCAAAUCGCUAGUCACUGUUGCAAUCUGUUGAUUUCAUUAUUUGGUUUAAUUCGAGUUUUCUAGCAAGUUCCGAGUUCGCCGAAGAUCGUAGUCUGAGGUUGCCGAGGGGUUUUUCUGGCCUAGUUCCGGCUUUAGUUCCUAUUAACACAGUGUUAUUGCAAUCGGAAAUGCCAUCAUUUUAAGGUCCAUCUUUAACCUUGUUCUUUCUAAAGUGUUCUGUCUUUUGCUUUAUCUCUUAUGGUUAAGAAUGUUGAAUGACUUUUUCAUUGUUAGUUGCAUACUGUGACUGAAACGAAUUAGUUCGUUAAAUCAAGUUAAUUUCUUGAAAUUCGAUGAUAGCACAUAUCCAUCUGCUUGAUUAAGCUAUUUUAAGGACCUUUAAUUAGGGACAAAUCCUUACACCUUUGGAACAUUGACGUGGCAUUAUGUUGCUUGAUAUACGGGCUCGAAUUGUUUUGGGUAGUUAAAAGGAUGAUGGAAGUAUUGCAUUUGUCAUUUUAAUUAUUUUAUUUUACUUGCUUGAUCCGUUAGUAGCAUGUUUAGGCUGGCGUUGUGUAGGUAAACUUUAGGAGCGUAAAUGAAUAAAUCGUGACUACGGGUACGGUUCCCGUGACGUAGUUGCAACACUCAAUUUUGAAUUUAGUGUUAACUAUGACCAUCUGUAGUUAAAUGUUUUUCCCUUUAGGAAUCGAGGUGUGCCAUUUAGUUGAAUUUUCCAUGGCCCUCGCAAACUUGAAAGUGCGUAGUUUCUUUAGGAUCGCUAUUUAAAGAUUACUUCCCUAAACUCGGGUGCGCAUUUAUGUGACCCAAAUUCGAAUCUCAACGUUAGAUAAAGUGUGUUGCGAACUGCGGGUGCAUUUAUGUGACGUUGUUUGAAACAUAUUUUAAAUCGUUAGAAUCUUCCUUUAAUUAAUUAAAUAAAGUGGUUAUAAAAGUUAAAAUUGAGCCAUAGGCUACAACAUGUAUUAAAAAUCAGAUAAUUAAGCCGAAUAUAACAGUUGAGCGACCGUGCUAGAACCACGGAAUCCGGGAAUGCCUAACACCUUCUCCCGGGUUAAUAGAAUUCCUUACCUGGAUUUCUGGUUCGCGGACUGUAAUACAGAGUCAAGCUUUUCCUCGAUUCGGGAUUCAACCGGUGACUUGGGACACCAUAAAUCUCCCAAGUGGCGACUCUGAAUCUUUAAUUGCAAUUAUCCCGUUUCGAUUGUACUUUAAUUGGAAAAACUCCCUUAUGCACCUUUUAUCGAGGUGUAGGGAAAAAGGAGGUGUUACAAUCUUUUAACAUGGUUUCAACUUAAAAUCAAAGAUUUUCAUGGGGGAAAUUGGGUAUUUUGGGUAGAACCUAGGUUUUCCAAAAAAAUUGGGGAGUUGGACCUCAAUUUGAAGUCCGAUUUCAAAACAAAUUAUACAUUUGGAUUCAUAGGGGAAUGGGUAAUCGGUUUUUGGUCCGAACCUCGGGUUCGACCAUGUGGGCCGGGGGUGAUUUUUGACUUUUUGCGUAAAACUUUGGGNNNNNNNNNNNNNNNNNNNNNNNNNNNNNNNNNNNNNNNNNNNNNNNNNNNNNNNNNNNNNNNNNNNNNNNNNNNNGUUUGGUCUAACCUUAGCUUGAGGGAUUAGGAGUUGAGUCUUAUUUGCUACAUGCUAAUUGUCGAGUACGACGUAUAAGCAUGGUGACGAGUAUCUAUAUGUUAGUGUCUAGCAUGACCGUGAGUCUUUAUAUUGCGGAUAUUCUAAUCUUGUUGUAUCUUUCAUGCCUUAAUGAUGAUUUCUAUAUGUUGUAAAAAGCAUGUGAAAGAAAUUGUGAUCUUUAAACUUCGAGAAGCAUUGGCUCGAGUGGUAAUACGAAUUGUGAAAGUAUAUGAGAUAAAUGGAACCCUUUGGAGCAUUGGCUCAAGUGGUAAAGUGAGUUAUAAAGUAAGAAGUGAAAGAAAGAGAAAGAGUUAUUGAAUUGUUCCCUUGCUGGGAUGCUUGUUGCUUUGUUGAUUAUCUCCCUUGGUGGGAUGCUUGUUGCUUUGUUGAUUAUCUCCCUUGCCGGGAUGUUGAGAUUUAAUGAUAUUGUUCCCUUGCCGGGACUUAGUUGUUUAAUUGUAUUCCCCUGCCAGGAUUUCUAUUAUUAUUAUUUGUUUAAUCCCUUUACCCUUGUUUGUGAUUGUUGUCUGGGUGAGGAAUAGCGAUAAAGCACGAAGGGUGAUGUCGUGCAUUGUUUGCUGUUGUGAGGAAAGAGUGUAAAGCAUGAAGGGUGAUGUUGUGCCGUACAAUGUACCAUUCCGUACCGAUAUUCAUUGUUUGCGAUUGUAAGGAAAGAGUGUAAAGCACGAAGGGUGAUACCGUGCCAUACGAUUUACCAUUAUGUACCGAUAUUCAUUGACUAUAUUGUGAGGAAAGAGAGUAAAAGCACGAAAGGUGAUGCCGUGCACAUUAUUAAGAUACAAUUGAUUUGGUGAGGACGAGAGUAAAAGCACGAAGGGUGAUGCCGUGCAUUUGUUGAUUUCUGAUUUCCUUGUAAACAUGUGUGACUAAAUCUUUCACCAGAAGCUGGUAGGCUAACUGGCUUUAUCUCAAGACAGAAAUUUUGUGAUGCUGGUAGGCAAACACAACAUAACUACCUAUCAGAAGACUUAGAGGGGUGCGAGAGAAGAUAAAGUUUAUAUCACAGUUCAAAUAAAUAUCAAAGCGGUAAAUAAGUGACAAAUAGCACAUUAGGCUUCCAAAUACAAUAAUAUCCAAAACAUGAUAAAAGCCAAACAAGAAUCAACAUACAAAACUCGAAUUCUUAUUAAUUAUUCCCCAGCAGAGUCGCCAGAGCUGUC
rnacentral:lncRNA from 1 species